rnacentral:rRNA from 1 species
CCUACGGGAGGCAGCAGUGAGGAAUAUUGGUCAAUGGGCGCGAGCCUGAACCAGCCAAGUAGCGUGAAGGAUGACUGCCCUACGGGUUGUAAACCUCUUUUAUCAAGGAAUAAAGUGAGGCACGUGUCCCUUUUUGUAUGUACUUUAUGAAUAAGGAUCGGCUAACUCCGUGCCAGCAGCCGCGGUAAUACGGAGGAUCCGAGCGUUAUCCGGAUUUAUUGGGUUUAAAGGGUGCGUAGGUGGGUUGUUAAGUCAGUUGUGAAAGUUUGGGGCUCAACCGUAAAAUUGCAGUUGAUACUGGCAGCCUUGAGUACGGUUGAGGUAGGCGGAAUGCGUGGUGUAGCGGUGAAAUGCUUAGAUAUCACGAAGAACCCCGAUUGCGAAGGCAGCCUACUAAACUGCCACUGACAUUGAUGCUCGAAAGUGUGGGUAUCAAACAGGAUUAGAUACCCCUGUAGUC